AACCUGUGUUGCGGGUAUUUCUCAGGAGCUCCCUGAACCUUUUCCACGUCUCAAAUAGAGACUCCAAUUCUGACUGUACAAAGGACGAGAUCUGAUUAUUAAGCUU